GUCGAACGGUAACAGGCCGCAAGGUGCUGACGAGUGGCGAACGGGUGAGUAAUGCAUCGGAACGUGCCCAGUCGUGGGGGAUAACGCAGCGAAAGCUGUGCUAAUACCGCAUACGAUCCAUGGAUGAAAGCGGGGGACCGUAAGGCCUCGCGCGAUUGGAGCGGCCGAUGUCAGAUUAGCUAGUUGGUGGGGUAAAGGCCCACCAAGGCGACGAUCUGUAGCUGGUCUGAGAGGACGACCAGCCACACUGGGACUGAGACACGGCCCAGACUCCUACGGGAGGCAGCAGUGGGGAAUUUUGGACAAUGGGCGCAAGCCUGAUCCAGCAAUGCCGCGUGCAGGAAGAAGGCCUUCGGGUUGUAAACUGCUUUUGUACGGAACGAAACGGUCCGGGUUAAUACCCUGGGCUAAUGACGGUACCGUAAGAAUAAGCACCGGCUAACUACGUGCCAGCAGCCGCGGUAAUACGUAGGGUGCAAGCGUUAAUCGGAAUUACUGGGCGUAAAGCGUGCGCAGGCGGUGAUGUAAGACAGGCGUGAAAUCCCCGGGCUCAACCUGGGAAUUGCGCUUGUGACUGCAUCGCUGGAGUGCGGCAGAGGGGGAUGGAAUUCCGCGUGUAGCAGUGAAAUGCGUAGAUAUGCGGAGGAACACCGAUGGCGAAGGCAAUCCCCUGGGCCUGCACUGACGCUCAUGCACGAAAGCGUAGGGAGCAAACAGGAUUAGAUACCCUGGUAGUCCACGCCCUAAACGAUGUCAACUGGUUGUUGGGUCUCUUCUGACUCAGUAACGAAGCUAACGCGUGAAGUUGACCGCCUGGGGAGUACGGCCGCAAGGUUGAACUCAAAGGAAUUGACGGGGACCCGCACAGCGUGGAUGAUGUGUUUAAUUCGAUGCACGCGAAAACCUUACCCACCUUUGACAUGUACGGAAUUUGCAAAGUUGGCUUAGUGCU
rnacentral:rRNA from 1 species